rnacentral:rRNA from 1 species
AGGGUUCGAUUCUGGCUCAGGAUGAACGCUGGCGGCGUGCAUAACACAUUCAAGUCGAACGGAGAAGUCCCUUCGGGGACGGAUCAGUGGCGGACGGGUGAGUAACGCGUGAGCAAUCUGCCGUAUAGUGGGGGAUAACACAGGGAAACUUGUGCUAAUACCGCAUAACACAUGGGUAUUGCAUGGUAUUCAUGUCAAAGAUACGUUGCUGUACGAUGAGCUCGCGUAUGAUUAGACAGUUGGCGGGGUGACGGCCCACCAAAUCAACGAUCAUUAGCCGAACUGAGAGGUUGAACGGCCACAUUGGAACUGAGAAACGGUCCAGACUCCUACGGGAGGCAGCAGUGGGGAAUAUUGGGCAAUGGGCGGAAGCCCUGACCCAGCGACGCCGCGUGAGGGAAGAAGGUCUUCGGAUUGUAAACCUCUUUCAGCAGGGAAGAAGGAAGUGACGGUACCUGCAAAAGAAGUCACGGCUAACUACGUGCCAGCCGCCGC